rnacentral:rRNA from 1 species
UACGUAGGGGGCAAGCGUUGUCCGGAUUUAUUGGGCGUAAAGAGCUCGUAGGCGGUGUGUCGCGUCGGCCGUGAAACCUGGGGCUUAACUCUGGGCGUGCGGUCGAUACGGGCAUCACUGGAGUUCGGCAGGGGAGACUGGAAUUCCUGGUGUAGCGGUGAAAUGCGCAGAUAUCAGGAGGAACACCGGUGGCGAAGGCGGGUCUCUGGGCCGAUACUGACGCUGAGGAGCGAAAGCGUGGGGAGCAAACAGG